rnacentral:lncRNA from 1 species
UUAACAAGUGAAAUAAAUAAGCUCAUUAUUCGAUGAAAACAGGAAAGAACAGUAGAGAAGGGAAGCUUUCGAUGAAAUGAAACAGGAAAGCAGUAAUACCACCAUCAUAUCACACGUGGCAUCAUGCAUGUAAGCAUACGACACACGCGUCUUGAUGCAUGCAACCUUACAGGACAUGUCUCAGCACGUGCCUCUGUCCCCUUCUUUAUCCUAGACAUCAAUGUAUAGCCAGCUAUAAUGUCAGUUUCUCCUCUCUCUACAGUAACUUUUCUCACCACUUGAAUUCCCCUCAAACAUGAUUUCCUCACAUCAUCACUCUAGUCACUCUAAUUUCACAUCAUUAUCCUUUCCGAAACCUUAAAUCAAUUUGAAAACUCAGAUAUCCAUAUGCACCAAAAUAAACAACUUAAUUGAAUAAACAAGAAUGUACUGUACUGCAGUGCAAAAACCACAGAUACAACAUUACACAUAUUUAAAAGAUCUGAAUAAAAUUUUUGAAUCAUAUAUCUAACAUUUUUGACCUAGUUUUCACCUGUUGGCAAAUAGUGACGACACAAAGGACAUACAUGACUGGUUUUGAGCCAUGUGAGAAUACAUGGAAGAUGAAAGACAUGUUGGCAUGACAGCGUGUAGCACUCAGCAUUCACAUUCAUCUCUUCCAAGCAGAUACAACAAUCUUCACAUUCUCUAAUAACAGUACACUUCUUCAAAAAUCUAUUUAUUAAGAUUUCAUCAUCGCAACCAUGAUUCACUUCAGAACUCUGCCUCUGAUUCAGUCUAGAACUUUGCCUCCCACUCGCUCUCGAACUCAGUCUCUCACUCCUUCUUAAACUCACCCUCUGACUCCUUCUUGACCUCUGCGUGAACUCUUCACUAGCUGCACGCUCUACAGAGUUCAAUAUUAUAACAGUCAGAGUUAACGGGAUGACUCGGUGUUGAGAUUCCUGGGGUUCCAGAGAAAUAAAAGAAGAAAGACUAUCAAUUUCAAACAAGGCUUGAACAUUAGAAAGAACCCCUUCUGCUAUUUCAUCCACACAUUCUAUGGUGAAAGGUGAAAGUGACAACACAGUGUGUAAGAAGGUUGGACCUUCUUGGAAGAAAUUUUGGGCGGGUAUUGAUGCUGGAGAAAAAUGAUGCUGUAAUCCCGCUGGGAAUGUAUCUUCUGAGUGGAAUCUAACUUUGACUUCGAAGUUGAAAUAAUCACCCGGCAGAACCCUGGUGUGUUCAUCAUUCACCCUCAUCACAUUGUAGUAAUGAUGUACUGUCGACAUUUUUUUUUUUCUGAAAUGAUACGGAAAGUUUGAUUGACAUACAAAAAAAUAACCAAGUUGGCAGUAUCUUUUAUAGUUUCAUUUUACUGAAUGGUAAAUGGUAAAUGUGCAAUUUCUUUCCCUAUAUAUAUAUACUAAAAAAUAAAUUUAUUUUUGUUCCAAUAUGUAUUUUUAAAUUUAAUAAAUAAAUAAAUGUAAAAUUUUAAUUAAUUAAAUUAAUUUUCUGACAGAAGAAAAUACUAAUAAUUUAAUGAAUUCGUGAUUAAAUAUGUUUAUAAUGCUGUAGAGUAUAAUAAAGUAUACUUAUACUAAAAUCUUAUGUCAUGUAUCUAAAUAAUUAAAUUUAUUAUCAACUGUUUAGUUAUAACUCUUUAUCCACGUUGAGUUGAUAUUUAGUAUGAAUUAACUGUCUUAUGUGUUGUGCGUUUGUGAUGAUCAACUAUGGAUAUAAGUAGAUGAUAAAUUAGGUACUGAUAUGUUUUUGAUGGAAGAAGAUGAUGUGAGAACAUAAUUAUAUAAUUUUAUUUCGUUUAUGUAUAUAGGAUCUUUGCUUUUGAACCACUUUUUUUUUAUUGCUUUUAGUUAUGUUACAUAUAUAUUGUUAUUAUAAUUAUUUAUAUAUGGAUAAAUGUGUUAAUCUUUUAUAUGUUUCUUAUAUCUAUUUGUUAUUUGUUGUGUAUUAAUAAAAUGUUUAAUAUUUUAUUUAAUAAUUUUAUAUUAUUAAAUGAAAAGUUGUAUUUUAAAUUUUUUAUUUUUUACUUUUUUAAAUCAAAAUUAUUUAGAUUUAUUUUAAGAUUUUAGUCUAUUAAAAUUAAAAUAAAUUCAUAAUAUAUAUAUAUAUAUAUAUAUAUAUAUAUAUAUAUAUAUUUAUGAGAUUAAGUUAGAUUCAUAGUUUUGGGUGGCCUAGCACAUAGACUGUCUAAGAAUAGUUCCAGCUUAGGUAUUAAGAUAAGUUGUUGAUGAUAGUGAUUGAUAUCUUUUACUUUUCAAGAUGUCUCAUUAUAUCUCUUCAUAAAGGUUUUUAGAGUUUUAUCCUUCUCCUACUCUGUAUUCACCAAAUCUACAGGCAUUAAUUCUUGUAUUCGGCUGGAAGCAUACUGUCUUCAAAAAAGACAUUCUACAGUGACGAAACAGUCCACUGUAUUUGGAGGAACAAUGUUGUACCAUGUCAAUGCCUCCCCUUUAAGCGAUGGUGAAAAAGUUCUGCACAUGAUUGGAUCAUUGGACGAGUAGAAUACCAUCGCGUUAACGAACAUUCUGAGGUGAUCAUCUGGGUUUCUAGAGUCGUCAUACUUCUCUAACGUAGAAGGAGGCUUUUUUCUGGAAUGGGAGCUUCCAUAAUAGCUAUUGUGAAAGAAAGUAACCCCAUUGACUGAAUGGUUUGUAGGGGUUCAGAUGUAGGUAUGACCCUACUGUUUGUUACCCUUCUACCUUGAUCGUUUUGGUUGACGGGGCUUGGUUGUGGUUAGUUUCGACUGGAAUUUCUCUGAGCCGUUGGUUGACCACGACCAGUCACACCAGGUUCCCCUUGAGCUGUAGGAGCUACUGAGUGCUGAGCGGAUUGAUCAAGUUAGGCUUUGAUCAAUGAACUCUUAGUCACAAUUCAAUAUCAGAAUUCUAUAAAACUUACAUAACUUUGCCGUUUAGUCCUUUAUUUAUAGGCUAUCUGAUGAGUCUUGAAUUGUCAAAGAUCUAAUAAAACUAACUUACCUUUUUCUCAGUC